UUUUCCCUUUUCCUGACUGUCAUAUAUUUAUUUUUUUCAUAACCAUGUCCUUUGUUUCUGCGAUUCAAUAUAAAGUAAUUAAGGAAAUGACUGUUUAGUGAAAAAUGUUUCUUCACUUUUCCUUAAAAUCUUGAAAAAGCAUGUGAUUUUUUAAGGGCUCCAUAGGUGUUGAAUGAGGUAGAUAAUAAUUAGUGAGUGAAAUUGGAAAGAAUGUAAACAUAUGUCCACGCAGACAUGAUAACUGAAUUGGAGGUGCUUUUGCCACCGACAUGCAUGUAGGGGAUGCGCUAGCUUCUAUCCUGCGCGAGUGUGAGGUUGGUGGGGACAAUGUUGCCCCCAAGUUCCUACUCGGACACGUCGUCACUGUCCAAAAGCGAGGCAGGCCAAAAAUUUGUCUUUGUUGUCGACAGAGGCAACCUGGCUUGGUCAUUGAAUAUUUUCACCCACAUGUCCUCCUUCCUCUUAUCCUUUUUUUGUCUUUGUAUGAUUGAACUAAUAUAAUUAAAUAAGGUAUUGCUUUUCAGUGACUAACGUUCCUGUUUAUGUUUUUUAUACCAUCAUCUAUACUGGUUGCCCUUGAUUUUCUUUCGAUUGACUUAUGGUAAAGGUACUAAAUGAUGAUAGUAAGUUAUGAAUGCAAAAUACAGAGUACAGCGUAGUGUUAAUAUGUUUAUGCCCCCUCCACUUUUUUCCGGGCUUGGGACGAUAUUGGCAGUGUCAGGCCCCUCUACCCCUAUUAAUAUUCAGCAAACUUAAGAAAUAAUUAGUAUAUUCAUGGUUAGCUAUAAUUUAAAUAUUUUCGAAAGACAAAUUAAGAUUUAAAAGUAAAUUUGAAAAUAGGUCUGAUCGUGUUGUACAUAUAAAAUGUAACAACUGUGCAUAUGUUAAUUCACUGGCUUCUUCACACAUCCAUCCAGUGUGUAAAUUUGGCGAUUCCUACUCUUUCUUUCCUUGCAAUCUUUGUUAAAUCUGUAGAAUCUGAAAAGAUGACUUGCUGCUCAUUUUCCAAGUGGAAAGGCAAUCUUUUGACGUAGGGAUCUCUGAAGUGCACUUCAAAUUGAACUAUUUUCCAACAAUUAGCACUGUGGCUUGGUCAUCACCUUUAUUUAUGUAUUAAAAAAGGUAUUUUAUUGAUAGGGAUCUGUUGCACACCUCUACAUUUAUAUGUGCUUGAUAUUUGACCAGUAGAUAUCUGUUGAAUGCGACUACAGCAGAAUUGAUGUGCAAGGCAUAUGCAACAUAAUGUUGCUUCCUGUGCAUCAUUAGUGGUAAAGUUUAGAACCAAAGGGAUGAUAACACACAUAAGGUAAAACUUGUGAAGAUUUUUUUACUUGAAGUUGAUCAAAGGUUGUCCUUUUUGUGUGGUUGUGUAUUGUGGGGCAUCCCAUUAUGAUCGAAGACUGUUUAUUUAUCUUUUCUUGCAGUUUCAUUCUACUUUCCAAUCUUGCUGUUUUGUUGAUUGUCUGGAUUUACAUCAAUAAGAUAAUAGUUUUAAAUAUCGUUUUCUUGUCCAAGCUAAAAUCAAUUAGGAACCUCUUGUGCCUAACUGGAAUUGUUGUCUUUUUAGUUGUAACAUUCUUGUGAUACCACAUAUAAAAGAAUCACGAUUAGUAACGGAUCACCUUGUUGGAUUGCAUAUUUGAUUUGUUUUAACCACCUUUUACAUGUUUCUCGAAUUCCUUGCUAUGCGGCCCACCAUUUCUUGUCAUUGUUUAUUCCUGCACAAUAGAGAAUGCAAAGAUAAAGUUCAAGAGGAUGAUAUUAUAAUAUUAUUACAGACAGUGGUAGACCUGAAUUUGUGUUUUUUUUUUGGGCGAUGGAUGACUACAAAGAUCAAUGGCGAUGCACCUGCUGGUCUUUGGACAGGGGAGUACCUGGGCUGGCCAACCCUGCUCGUCCCAAUGGUUGGUCCACCACAGACUUCAAACCUAUGGAGGCCAUUCCACAAUCCCAGAUUAUAGUAGAGGAGCACGCUAUAACUCUGUGAGAUGGUACUUACUAAAGAUGGUCUGAUCUCUUGAUGGAGCAGAUUACGAUUGAGGGGCUUGUGACUGAUGCAGGAAGACAAUGCUGAAGCGCAACUUGUUGGAGGAAGUUGACAUCGAAGUGUUGUUUGCUAGAGGAAGAUGAUGUAAUAAGGGUACUCUUCUGAAAUCUAAAGGACAAUGAAUUUUUGAGAUGGUCGAACCAUUGCCUGGGGAAGGUAUUUUAGGGAUGGCUGAGUUGACCACUCUUGCUCGAUGGAAAGAGAUGUUACUUGGAUGCAGAGAGAUUUUAUAUAUGUACGUGAACGUGAGAUUUUGUUUCUGCUUGGAGAGAUUGUAUCUCUGUACAAUAUUGGUAGAGUUUGGUUAUGUUUGGAGAGAUUGUAUCUUUGCAUAGGAUUGUGAGAGUUUAGUCAUUGCAUCCUGUAAAUGAUCGUUUGACUUUUUCUGGGACCAUGAGAGUAUAUUUUUUUAAACGUGUAAUGAUCAGCUUUUUUUUAUGGCUAUGUAUUUUGAGUACAUUUUUAACA